rnacentral:rRNA from 1 species
CAACGCAGAACCUUACCUGGGUUUGACAUAUACCGGAAAGCUGCAGAGAUGUGGCCCCCCUUGUGGUCGGUAUACAGGUGGUGCAUGGCUGUCGUCAGCUCGUGUCGUGAGAUGUUGGGUUAAGUCCCGCCAACGAGCGCAACCCCUAUCUUAUGUUGCCAGCACGUUAUGGUGGGGACUCGUAAGAGACUGCCGGGGUCAACUCGGAGGAAGGUGGGGACGACGUCAAGUCAUCAUGCCCCUUAUGUCCAGGGCUUCACACAUGCUACAAUGGCCAGUACAGAGGGCUGCGAGACCGUGAGGUGGAGCGAAUCCCUUAAAGCUGGUCUCAGUUCGGAUCGGGGUCUGCAACUCGACCCCGUGAAGUCGGAGUCGCUAGUAAUCGCAGAUCGGCAACGCUGCGGUGAAUACGUUCCCGGGCCUU